GGAGGAAGGUGGGAUGACGUCAAGUCAUCAUGGCCCUUACGACCAGGGCUACACACGUGCUACAAUGGCGCAUACAAAGAGAAGCGACCUCGCGAGAGCAAGCGGACCUCAUAAAGUGCGUCGUAGUCCGGAUUGGAGUCUGCAACUCGACUCCAUGAAGUCGGAAUCGCUAGUAAUCGUGGAUCAGAAUGCCACGGUGAAUACGUUCCCGGGUCUU
rnacentral:rRNA from 1 species